ensembl:lncRNA
GUGCGUUCCAUACUAUAGGUGCGGAUCAUUUUUGCACAAUGAUGCUGUUCUCCGAGGAAACAAAGCUGGGCUCCCUGCCACCUUCCCUGACCACACCCUCCCUCCUAGGACCCUCCUGGUGGGAGAGUCUGGGACCCCCAGCCCACCCAACCUGACCUAAAGCAGCUUUCUGGAUCCCAAACAAACUUCCUCCUCCCUCUGCCUCAGAGGCCCAGAGUUCUGGUUCCCAUGACAAGAGGCAGGAAGUUGAGGACCUGGUGAGAGAUGAGGGGACCCACCCAAAGUCCUGCCAGUCCAGCAACUUCCUGUCCCGAGGCUCCCCUCGACCAGAGCCCUCCCUCUAGACCUGUGGUUCUCACCAGGGGACAAUUUGUCAGUCUUGAGAUGGUUUUGGUUGUAGUGUUGAAGGGCAGGGGCUACUGGCUUCUCAUGGGUAGAAGGCUGGGAUGCUGCUAAACAUGCUGAGGUGCUCAGGACAGGCCCCCACAACAAAGAACCAUCCAGCCCAAAUGUCUAUAGAGCUGAGAAUGAGAAACGCGACUUUACACAGGGGUGUCGGGGUGCCCCUGCCCACAGAAGCCAGGAGGAGGCGAGAUGCUCCGGCAGGGCUCCCAGGAAGGGCUCCAAUGAUAAGAGGAAUCCUGAUAAUAGCCAUAGUCAGAGUCCAUGGGCCCAUGGCACUGAUGAGGCCCAGAGGGGCAGUGACCAGCCCAAGGUCCCCCAAGGGGCAGGGCAUGGCCAAGCCUGGGGCCCACCUUUCCGGCCUCCUAGGUCCAGCCUGUUGUGUGCCCUCCGGGACAGAGUCCCAGGAGACCUCUGAGUCCUCUCUGAUGGGCAGCACCUGCCUGAGUUUGAGGGACUCCCUCCUGCCCGCUCCCAGCAUCCCCCACUCCAGCGGCUAGGGGAAUUUUUCUUCUUUGGAACUUACACUGUGUCCAGACGUUUCAGACACCGUGGGCCACUGGGGCCCAAGUGAGCGUCUGUCAGGAACAGCCCUGAGCCCACCCUCUCCUGGCCUCACUCAGGGUGUUUUGGCAACUUAUUCAAAACACAAAACACGAAAGCCGGUCUGUCUCCAGGACACUGUUUCUGCCCCACUGCGGCUCACUUAUGUUUGUUUAUAGACCAAAUGGGCCUGCGUUUGCUGUUGGUUUAACCCUGCCCCCACUCCCAACUCCUCCCACCCCCACCCUCGGGCCCAUGCUCUGUCGACACUUGGACCCCCGAGAUCCCUCUGCCCAGCCUCCUGAGCCCGGUGUACAGCCCAUAGCCCACACAGUGCCCAGCUGGAGUUUGGCAGCAUCUGCUGGAGCACUUUCUCAUCAAAGGGCUCAUUUAGGCCUUGCAAAACCUGACAGAUAAGGCCAAAUUUAAGGCUUCUCUUGGGAGUGGCUCCACCUGGGAGGAGUGCAAAGCUCCAGACUCCUCUGUCCACCUUGGGCUCCUGUGUCAAGUGUGAACUAAUUGCUAUGAAGGAUGGGCAACAGGAAGGGGAGAAGUUCCAUCUUCCGUUUCAGACCUGAGAGGCCUGAAGGCGUUGCCCAUGGCUGUCUCAAAGAUGAGUUCCUUUAUUCGGUUCUGAGGAUGGCCUGACCAUGGGGCCCUGGGGCCCACUGGCUGGAGGAGAGUCAAUAAUGUACCGACAGCACAGCCACAGAUCUGGCCAGACACCCCCUCUCUGAAGAGGCAACUCCCCUGUGCCUGGAGGAAGACUUCCCUGAAUCUUGGCGUGGUGCUACCUCCCUUCCCAGAAUUCCUGGGGCAAAUAAAGUUUGUACCAGAAAGCUGCCACAUGCCACGUCCUCCGGUUGUGUGUGGACAUCAUUGAGACCGAUCACAAAAGCUCUGGCUCUCUCUCCUUCUGGACACUUGGAAGAGGUGUACAUCCCCGCCCACCUGAAUUCAGGCGGGGCCACGUGACUGGCCAUGUGAGUGGAAAUGGUGAGUGUCACUUCCAGGAAGAUAGUUUUAAAGUCAGUAUGUACUUUUCCAUGACAACUAUCUAAGCUCCCAAUAAUGGCUGCCUGGGUCCCUGACUGCAACAGACUGAGCCCCUGCAGAUCUGUGAUGAUGUGUAAUUGUGAGCAAAAAUUAAAACUUUGUUGUUUUAAACCACUGCAAUGUUUAGAGCUGUUUGUUACUGUUGCAUAAUCUAGCCCAUCCUAACUGAU